AAAGGGUCAGGGAGGAAGAGCAAAAUGCUGAGUUCUUAUACUCCUCUGCGUUUGUCCUGCUUCAGCUAGUUUCUUAUAUGGAGAUGAAGAAGAAUGACUUGGGAGUGCCUGUAGAGGGUGUAAUUUUACCCAUCCCUUGAAUAAUAUAUCAGAGAGCAGAGGUGAACCUCCUCUUCUAGCAGCAGCACUGUUUUAGGUGCCAUCAAUGACAUCCUUGUCAGCCAGAUAUGUGUACUGACUGCUACACUUCCUAAAAUGCUGUUGACUUUGCUGAUGGUUCAAAGUGUGGGGAAGUUUCAUAGGCUUCAGAUCUGGAUGCUUAUCAAAGCCUGCCUGCUCUCCUGCAGUACAAGAAGACCUGUACGUGAUCUUCUGCUCCUCCCGUGCCCUGCCACAUUAAACCAUUUAUGUAGAAAGUAAAUGGUCAGAUAUAUGAAUGCUGAAAGCUCUCUACUGUCAUCCUGCGAUGUGCCGCAGCACCCAGAGGGAGGAGUGAGCCUGGAGACCACCUCUUUCACAGCAGUGAGCUCCUGGUGCCACAGCGAUGGCUGUAUGUACAAAAGCUGUUGGUAUGGUGCUGUCUCUGACCAGAACAGCAAGCCAUGCCCAGCUGGGGGAGAGAAGCACAUCUUUGAACCAACCUUCUCUUUCUUUCUCCCAGCACUGACUUCCAUGGGCUGCAAAGAGAAGCAUUUCUCCCUCACUUCACCAGUGCUGUGUGAAAUGCCCUCUAAAUGCUAAUUUCAUUUCACUUCUACAACAGUAGAAAUAAAUACAGCACAAAUCUUCCUUCUCUGCAGUGCUUUUUUUCUUGACUGCUGUAUCUAAAUGUCCCUUCAAUCUAGUAUCUCUUAAUAGUUCAGUAAAGAAUUACUCAUGGGACUAUCCUUUUUUUUUUUUUUUUUUGCCUUGAAGGCAGUCCCUAUUACUCCACAGUAUGGAAACCAACUGGGAAAGUAAUCUAUGCAAAUUACAUGUACUUUUCGGGUUGAAUCGCAUUCCCUUCGCUCAUGGUAAUGAGUCACUUGGCAUGAAGUGGACUUACAGUGAAUGGAGAGAGCAUAUAAGGGCGCUGCUUCUCAAGAAUUACUUCUACUUGCUGAAUCUCAUUUAGGCCUGGAACCAUGAGGGGUGAGGCUCUGCU
ensembl:lncRNA